rnacentral:rRNA from 1 species
AUUGAACGCUGGCGGCAUGCCUUACACAUGCAAGUCGAACGGCAGCAUGAUCUAGCUUGCUAGAUUGAUGGCGAGUGGCGAACGGGUGAGUAAUACAUCGGAACGUGCCCUGUAGUGGGGGAUAACUAGUCGAAAGAUUAGCUAAUACCGCAUACGACCUGAGGGUGAAAGUGGGGGACCGCAAGGCCUCAUGCUAUAGGAGCGGCCGAUGUCUGAUUAGCUAGUUGGUGAGGUAAAGGCUCACCAAGGCGACGAUCAGUAGCUGGUCUGAGAGGACGAUCAGCCACACUGGGACUGAGACACUGCCCAGACUCCUACGUGAGGCAGCAGUGGGGAAUUUUGGACAAUGUGGGCAACCCUGAUCCAGCAAUGCCGCGUGUGUGAAGAAGGCCUUCGGGUUGUAAAGCACUUUUGUCCGGAAAGAAAUCGCACUUACUAAUAUUAGGUGUGGAUGACGGUACCGGAAGAAUAAGGACCGGCUAACUACGUGCCAGCAGCCGCCGUAACAC